GACGAACGCUGGCGGCGUGCCUAAUACAUGCAAGUUGAGCGCUGAAGGUUGGUACUUGUACCAACUGGAUGAGCAGCGAACGGGUGAGUAACGCGUGGGGAAUCUGCCUUUGAGCGGGGGACAACAUUUGGAAACGAAUGCUAAUACCGCAUAAAAACUUUAAACACAAGUUUUAAGUUUGAAAGAUGCAAUUGCAUCACUCAAAGAUGAUCCCGCGUUGUAUUAGCUAGUUGGUGAGGUAAAGGCUCACCAAGGCGAUGAUACAUAGCCGACCUGAGAGGGUGAUCGGCCACAUUGGGACUGAGACACGGCCCAAACUCCUACGGGAGGCAGCAGUAGGGAAUCUUCGGCAAUGGACGAAAGUCUGACCGAGCAGCGCCGCGUGAGUGAAGAAGGUUUUCGGAUCGGAAAACUCUGUUGGUAGAGAAGAACGUUGGUGAGAGUGGAAAGCUCAUCAAGUGACGGUAACUACACAGAAAGGGACGGCUAACUACGUG
rnacentral:rRNA from 1 species